ACAGAGAUGAGCAUCUGGAUGUCAUUGCAGAAGCCACAGAAAUGCAGGUCCUUGAACAAAGUUUACAUGGCAUGAGCAUUGUUGAGGAGGACAUGGAGGAAAAUGUUUUCAAUGAUCCCUUGAACAGUGUAAUUGAUUGGGCAGAUGAAGGUUCUCCUUCCUUUCAUCGAAAAGAUGAUGGAAAGAAUGCUGACAGUUCUGAUGAAGAGUAUCUUCCACCAAUUAGUAUAUGAAUAGGUGGAGCAUUACAGAAAGCACCAUCUAUUGAUCGACUGGAAGCUAUUGGAAUUGACGAGACGGUGCAUGACCAGCCUUCACAUGAAGACCCUCUGGAUGAGCCUUCUCCUUGUGAUCAGGUACCUGUUUUCCCAGCCCCACAGUGUGUCCUUUGUGAAGAUGACAUCAUAGGUGCCAGAGCUUCAAUAGUAUAUGAGGACUGCUUGAGUCAACUGGCUACACUUGUGAUCCUGCCUGCAGAUAAAUGUUCAAGCCUUUUGAAGACGGGUGUGUUGUGCAACUGCGUUGCCCCCUUUGACAUCAAAAUCACUUCUAAGGGCACAUCAAUUAAUAUCGUAUGGGUAAGAUCCUGUUAAUGUUUAAAACUGCACACUGUCCCAAUCAAUAAAAUAAAUAAAAGUUCACUCCAACACAGAAGUGAUCACGAAUAAAAUGGGGAUUUACUUAAGUAUUUUUGUAAAAGUCCCUCACAGUUCCUCUAUUUUAUGUUUCUGAACAUGGGCAAGUGAUGCAAGUGCGAAAAGACACUUGAUGGAACAGUCUUUUGAGAGUCUGUUUUUGUCCAUGGAACAUUCUUUGACAUACAGCUAAAUUUAGCUUGACCAUUAGCCUGCCACAGAGCAGGCAAGUUCUGCUGACUAAGUUACCAUGGUUACCCCCCCCCCCCCCAAGGUAAAUAAGUAAAUAAAUAUUCUGAAACAGCUGGUAAAUCAGAGAAUCUGGGUUGCCCUUUCCUCUUACUUCCAGCAAUAAUUGGCAGCUCCACACAUCAAUACUCUUUCAUUUUAGCAUAAUUUCCAAGCCAAAUAACUUGUCUCUCCCGCAGUUUCUUCCUGGCAAUGCAAGAAUACCAUUUCCUCUUGAAUUGCCAUGCUUGGCACAAAUAGCGGGAAGGAGUGAAACUGAUUAUGUAAGUGCACAGGUCUGGACUGCUUUACAGAUGCGCACACAAAACACACCUUCGCAAUUGAAAGUGUGUGUGUACUGUCCUCUGAUUUUGAAGAAACUUUAGCUCAGAGAAUCAAGAUUGGGGUGAAUUUAUAUUGUGCAAAAAUAACAAUAGGAAUAUGAACAUAUUAUGAAGCUAAAUAAAGAUGAAUUCAAGUAGUUUGACAUAAUAUUAACCAAAGCAUCAACAUAUUUGAGACAUUUGUUAAUUUUAUUCAUGCAAUUCAGGUACAACAAUGCUAAAACACUAGUUAGAAGCUCAGUAAAGUUGGUAUGGCUAACAUGUUAGCAUAUAGUAAUCACUUAACAUAACCUCUUUUAGGUGUCAUGUUGGACAGGUAACAGCGAGACUAAACCAUACAGUCCAUACAGUAAGUUUCGGAAUUACUACGAGCAACCUGUUCACAUUACAGUUAUUUGAAUGGAAUGCUAACAUCAAACACAUUGCCUAAUGCAAGGGUACGUAAAUACUGAUGACAUUCUUUGCAGUGUAGGCACACAAAAAGGAAGGUAGAAAGAAAAUCUGAUACAAUCCAAGACUUAGACACAUAGCUAGCAUCCCUUAGCACAAGCAGAUCUGCAACUGUCCAUCCUUUCUGUGUCCAUUUUAAGUUUUCCUUAAAUAUCUUACCUCCACCAUUUCCUAAUGAGAGAUUACUUUGCAGUUCAGCUGGGAUCGCUUAUUCACUAACACUCUGGCUGGACUGAGGAAUAGGAGAGGAGACAUGAAAUCUGUUUCACUCCUCUGGUCAAAGUCUCAGCCACAAUUUGGCUCGCUGCCUUCAAUGAGUUCGUCAUGCAAGUCAAUCCGGGCAAAGAACUUCUGUUCUUGCUUUGUUGCUUCUGCCAAACCAAGAGAGAGUCUGGAGCCUCGUCUCAUCACCGGCACUGUCAGAACCCAGACGGCUGUGACUGAGUACAAAGCAAAAAUGAGACGACAGCAGGAAGUGUAGAGCCUUCCAGCAAUAGUAAUGAACAAGGUCAACCUUGACUCCAUCAUCAUCCUUCCUAAUUCAGGAAUUUUUCUCAAACAAGCUGAAACAAUAUACCUGUUUUCCUAUUUUACAAAAGUAGCUUUAGCAAAAAACUGUUGUCAUAUCUAGGGCUUUGUGGUGGGCUUAUCCCUGAUUGAACAUUUGAAAAUCCUGUUUAAGGCUGUUUUCAUCAGUCCUCUUAAAGAGGACCAAAAAGUUGACCAACAGAAAAGGGACUCAUUUCUUUUUGCAGUCCUCUUUCUGUUCUCACUAUAGUUUCUCUGUAGCUCAGACCUUUACUGCUUCGGAUUAUGGGCAGUUUUCACUUGGAACAAGAUUACUGCUGCUAUACUUGUCUCUAUAAUUAGCCCACAGAGACAGGAAAAACUGAAGUAUUUGUUCAGAUCACAUUUGAAAACAAUAAGUGACUGAGGAGACUGAGAAGACUGCAAAGGAGAUGGGUACGGAGGAGAAGAAUUUUGCAGCAACAUGACAAACUCAUCAGGCGACAUCUGAUGCUAUUAGCAACACUUGUGACACUUCAGCCCUCACCUGAAAGGUAGGUAUUACAUAUAAAAGUGAAUUCAGAAAUGCACACCUGGCUAAUUCUCAUACCACUACUAUCAACAUCCUAAUGAUAUAACAAAUUAACAGAAGUAUAAACACUAUGCUUCAAACAUUAGCUCUUUUGGGUGGUGUUCUUUGUGUCAAACAAGCAUAUUAAUGCAACAGUUUAGUUUGUUCAAUUUAAUCUGUUUUUCUCACCUUGUUGCUGCAGUGUUUUCUGUCUUCAGGGGCAUGUUCCUGAGGGCACACUGAUUAGCAGGAUUGGACACACCUGGGUCCAGUGUGCCCCGUGUAUAAAGCUGGAGGAGCUGCCAGUUCAGGCUCUGUCUUCUCUCUCCUGUGUUGCUUUUUGGUUCUCUUUCCUUUGUUUCACAAUACAACACUCACUCAUCCACUCCCUACAUUACCAACCUCAUAGACAUAUCCCACCCAUUUGUUGUUUUUGUUUGUUUUGAGUACUUUGAUUUUUAAGUGUACUUCAGACACAUUUUAAGACUCGGGGAGAUUGUGCUUUCCAGUCGGCAGCCCCUAAGCUUUGGAGUAGUUUCCCAAUAAGCUUGACGUCCUUGAACACUGUGGACUCUUUUAAAAAAGCAGCUAAAAUCUGUUCAGACAGAUGUCUUUGUUUUAUUUAUUUGAUCUGACUUGAUUGUAUUGGACUUUAUUUCUUUAUUCAGUAAUACUGAAGGCUGCAGUAGACUAUAAACUACAGUUUUGGGACAUAAAUGUAGGUUAGUCUGGAAAAGUACAUGAUACAGGACUGUUUGCAAACUCUACACUUUUGCAGAAAGGCUAGUCUGGGAGACUGGAAGCCAUGAGUCCAGAACAGUGUUCAUUUUGUCAGGUAUUUUUUUAUUUAGUCUGAGUCUUAGUCCUGUGUCAAAUGUCUUUGUUAGUUUUCAUCGUCAAGACUCAGCCUCACCUGUUUUUGGUUUUUUUUUGGUUUGUUUUUUUGUAGUCAAGUUAGUUGACUAGUCUGGGCAUUUUAGUCUUAUCUUAGUCAAAGAAAACUGUAACUAUUGUAGUAGACUUUUAGUCAAUGAAAACUGUUGAUAUUUUUUUAGCCUUCAGAUCAUAUUUAACAUUUCAGUGAAGCUAGUUGAGCCAAAACCAAUCAACCAAACCAUUUUAUCAUUUUAGUCAAACUUAUUUCACAUUAGAUUUUAUCUUCUCAUUAUCUGAUGGAAAACACAGGUUGAAUGAUUAAGAAUGCAGCUUUGCAGAAAGUGUCUGGUCUGACAGUAAUAUAAGGAAUACAUCCAGAAAUGGAACAUGUUCUGAUUUGCACAUUUAUUUUGAUCCAAAACACGUUUCAACAACUGAGGCCCAAUACUCUCUAUGAGAGUAUCAUAAAACUAUGAGAGUUGUACAGACAAUACAUUUUGAAACCAAUUUUGUUGGUUGCCUUAAGUACAAACUUCCUUAUUCUGUUCUGAACAACAGAAAUAAAAGUAGUUUGCAAAUGCAAUCUGCUUGCACUAGAAAAAAUAGAUCUGAGGUCAGUGUUAACAAGAAGAAAAAUUGAGCCCCCUGGACUUAAUAAGUACAUAAGUGUUAUGGUUCUGUUUGCAGUCUGACUCUGUGUCCCUAGCUGCCGUUCUCCAACACUUCUCCAGAGGCCCUCAGACCUUUCUCCUUUUUUGUUUGGACUGGAUUGAGUGGGAGAAAGCUGCUUUGACUUUUGUCUUUAAAAGACUAUCCUGCAUGAUGAUUAUUUGUAUUGUCUAUUUCGGUUGGUCUGUCUUUGUUUUCACUCAAGUCUGAACUCAUACAGCAUAUACUCUGUCUCAGUGAUAAAGAGCAUUGUGUGCAUUUCUACUUUCAACUUAUACUGCAGAACUAGCCUGUUCUGUGGCAGGCUAACUGUCAAGCUUAAUUUAGCUGUGUGUCAAAGAAUGUCCGACAGGCAGAAACAGAAUCCAAAAGAUGGUUCCGUGAAGUGUGUUUUCACACUUGCAUCCCUCAUUUAUUUAUUUUUACUAUACUCCCAUGAUAAGCGGCUGCGGCACCAAUAUUGCCUACAUGAGGCUGGUCCUGCAUGCAGAUUGAAAUCAUGACAGGAAAAACUAAUUUUCUCUCAAUGACAAACAUAGUCUCCUCAAAGCUAAUGACAAAAGGGGGGAAUUAAAUCUAAGGAAAGGAUCACUGCUCUCUUUACCUGUCCUGCCGCCAGAGAAAAGAAGGAACUUGUAAUCAGCAAAAGUCAGAAGCUCUGCUACUUCAAACGUGUGCACUCACUACGUCUAAACAGCUGUACUGUAUUUUGAAACAGUCAAUAAUAUUCAGUAAAUAGUGAAGCUGUCCGUUUCAUUAUUUUAUCUUCAUAUAGGCUAAUAAAUUGGCUAAUUAAUUGGCUGUACAAAUGUUAAUUAGAUAGUAUUCUGCGUGAGAAAUAAAGAAGAAAAAAUCAGUUAUAAUAAUCAUCCGCUUAUAGUGACAUUUGACCCGGCCAAACGUGAUCACUAUAAACAGUUUCCAUUGUACUUAUAUCCUCCAGUUUCUUCAUCUCCAAUCGCAACUUCCUAAUUCUUAACUUUUGAUAACACUUGUAAAUCAAACAGACGUCCUGGGAAAGUGAAAAUGUUAUUACGUAGUUGGUAAUGGUAAGUUGGUUGGAGUUGCCUACACCAUAAUUUAAACAUACAUUAAUAUUAUCUAGCCUACUGAUAAUAUAGCCAGAGUCAGUGAUCUGUAUGUUCAUUUAUUAACAAAUUCAACCAUAAAUAAUAAUAAAUUCACUUUCCCCUCCCAGAUUCAUCCUGCUGGUCCAGGCAAUAGAAUUGUCAACCUUAUAGUCCUUAUGAGCCUAUAUAGGCUCAUAAGGACUAUAAUUUACAGUUUUAAAGUCAUCUCCCUCACCUUAUUAAUUGUGGCAGUAUUGCCCUUUUUGGUGAUGACUCCUUUAUAUUCAUAUAGUUUCAUCAGCAGGUUUGUUCCACUGCUGAGAAGAACACAGCUCUAGUUUUCCCCUCUUUUUGUGACAGAGUUUUUUUUGACAAUUGACUGUUUUGGGCUGCUUAUGUACUCUGUGCAUGUGCACACUGCAAGCUUAUUCAAGUCUGGCUAGACUUAGCGUUGACUAGACGGCUGUGCUGUGUUAGUGGAAGAGCUUGAGCCUCAAGCGAAAGUUGACAUUAAUUAUAACCAGAGGGGUGUGCUACAAAGCAAGUUCAACAUACUCAGGCUUUCUUUGUGUGAGCUGGCUCGACAAACCCUCUACUCAUGAUCAGAGGUAAGUGGUAUCACGACAGUGGUUAUCAACUUUCUUUGUUAAUCCGGGCUUUCUGUUUCAGGCUUUGUGCGCACUCCCAUAGUUUGGCGCGUCAUUUGACUUUUCCGCACAAAAUUGACCGAUCGGGUGCCACCUACUUUAGUCAAGCUGGCUAACAAGAUAGCCUGGCUUAUUUUGAUAAGCUUCGCUAAUUUAAGUGAGUUCCGUUCCAUCGCUGCAGCUUAUAUGAGUCCCAGCUCAGUAACCAUGGUAACCUAGUCAGCAGAACUAGCCUGCUCCAUGGCAGGCUGACAGUCAAGCUUAAUUUAGCUGUGUGUCAAAGAAUGUCCGUUGGACGGAAACAGACUCUCAAAAGACGCUUCCAUCAAGUGUCUUUUCGCACUCGCAUCACUUGCCCAUGUUCGGAAACAUAAAAUAGAGGAACUGUGAGGGACUUUUACAAAAAUACUUAAGUAAAUCCCCAUUUUAUUCGUGAUCACUUCUGUGUUGGAGUGAACCUUUUCAUUUAAAAGCUUAGCAUUUAUAAUUUAAGUGAGCGCAGCUUUCUUUAGCUGCGUUGAUGGAGCACCCCUCAGGGUAAGUUCUGCAGCAUCAGUUACCAUGGUGAUCUAGCCAAGUUAAAAGAGAGCCACCUUUAUGACAUUGAAAACCCUGGCUUUAGGCUCAAUGUACCUCACUAACCCACUAAUCUCACUUUGUAGUACACCCCUCGGGUUUUUUCAAGUAAGCACAGCAUUCUUUAGAUGCAUUGAUGGAACACCCCUAAGGGCUCUUGUUUUCUUUGGUUUUAUCCAUGCCUUGCUUUGGUCUUAUUCUUCUAUUUCUCAUGUGUUGCUGUAGUCCUGCUUAGACUGUUUUCCCCUGCACAUCUGUUCAGUGUUUAGCCUCAUCAGCCUUGCCCUGCAUUUUACGUGCCACACCCUCUUAACCACCUUGUUUCCCAAUCAUCAUGAUCUCUCCCUAUUCUAGGGGCUGUUGCACAAAACCUAGAUGGGGGAUUAUGCCAGGAUUUUUCAGUUAUCCUGGUUGAAUUUAAAUUACUAUGGAGAUUUAUUCUGUGCAGCUAGCCUGCUCCAGACCAGGCUAACAGGAACCUACUGUUCAUAUUGCUGUCAGGGGUUUGAUGAUUAUGUAUAUUAUUGCACAUCUUGAGAUGAUUAGAAAUGGCUGAUGAAACCUAUCCCUUACUAAUAAAGGAUAGUGUAUGUCACUCUUCCCUGUGUACGUGUAUUUUAUUUGGAAUUGGUAGCACACAGUUUGUGGUUGUUAGUUUUCUUAAUUGUAUAAUCUUCCCAAAUUAUAGUCUCACAUCACUUGACCGAUAACUAUAUAGUGUAGUGUACAUUCAUGAAACUGGGAGGACACCACAAUGUGUUUUGACCUUUUUAUUUUGCAGUCAUCACUUGUCAGCUUGGAGCUUGGGAGAGAGAACAACAGUGAUUAAUACAUUGUGUUACAAUCAUACUUACAGUAUGCAUUGAAAUCACUUCCCUUUCUAGUUUCAGGAUUUCCUCAGUGUCUUUCGUUUGAUUUCCAUGUUAAGGUCCAUAUCCUGCAGUUUUUUCUUGUGGACUUUAAUCUUCACAUCUGCCAGCUCUAUUUGUCUCUUUAGGUGUUUGGUGUAUAGACAUCUGACAGUUUGUGAAUUCUGUAAAACACCUAUCAAUUAGCACAGCAGGAAUUGUGCAUAAGGUGGAUUUCCUUUGGGCAAUACUCACUAUUUUUCUAUGCUGGCUAUCAGGCUGUACAGCCUCUGUGUCCUGUUACAAAUGUGAUAUUUUCUAUGAGCACUACAUCACUUACUACUUAUCCACUAUGGACUAAGUAUCGUAUCCAAUAGAAUUUGUAUUGAUCUAGCAUUGACAGGAUGUGCCAAACCUACGCCUUUAAUGAAUAACACUCACCAGAUUACCGUCUGGUGGCUCUAGAAGAGCGAGUGUGUUGCCAGACACUGCAAGGCAAGCCAAAGUCAGACAGUCCACAUAACACCUGUAGCGGUUCGGACAAUUUGAACUACCCUCAACCCCACAAAGUAUACAUGGUUAACUCAUGACCCUAAAAAAAAAAAUGCUUUCAAAAGACCUUUUGGUAUUGUAUAAACAAACACAAAAUGAACACUUAAAUAAAGUUAAUAAGGCCAAACACACCACCAUUUGAAUUUCACAAAAUUAUAUUAGAGCACUCACACAAAAAAACAAAACUCUUCAACAAAUCAGUCCAGGUCCAUAAACAAAAAUAGUGCUCCGUUCCGGGUUUUUCCCGUUUCUCAAUAUAGUUCAGUUUCAAACAGUCCAGUUCUCAAACAAAAAUAAUCUGCCUUGGGUUUUCCCGGAAUUCCAAACAAAACCCAAAAUAAGGAAGUCAGUUCAGCUUUUCACCGUCCUACCAACCCCAAAAGCCCAGUCAAAAAAGAAAAGAAAAGAUAACGAAAAGAGCACAGUGAAGUCACCCGGCUUUAGCCGACUCACGGUUCAGGGGAAGUGUGGAAACGUGCGUUGUCCGGAGUUGUAAACAUGGACGGUUCUGUGUGUUCGUGGAGAUAAGAAGAGAGGCUGCAGUAUCCACGGCUCGAGGGCAACCAAGGUGGAUGUUAACGACGCGGACUGAAACGCGCGCUGAUGGCCAAGGAUAGGCUUACUACGGACAUGGAUGACUCACGAGGGUUUCUCUCCUGCUGUUCACCUGCCGGCGACUCCCGCCAUACUGAAUUAAAUCUCCUGGUACGAAAAACGGAAGAGGCUGGACUCCGAGGGAGUGGCAAUGUGGAGCUAACUCACUGGCUGACUGGACUAGUGGGGUGUGGAAGUAAGUAAAAAAAACAAAAAAAAACAAAAUGGGCAAUCGCAUACCAAAACAUAACAUAUAUUUAAAGCAUGAAUGUCAGGUAUUUGCUUAGUCACGAACAUAGCACAGAUACCAAACUGAUACAAAACUUUCAAAUCCUUAUUAUUUUUUUUUUUUUUUUAUUCUGUGGGAGUGAUCGCCACACACCGUAUACAUGGUUGAUUGAGUUCCAUGUGCAGUACUGGAAUAAUGUACCUUGUAUGAAGAGGGCAGUUUCUGUAGGGACAGAGUCAGUGGCGUCCCCCCCGGAUCCCUUCCAUCACAGGCCUCCCUUGGUUCAGGUCAAGGGCCAGCUCCUCUGCUGGGGUGGGGUCUGGGGUUGGUGGGCCACCACCCGUGCCAGACACAUGAGCCUUUUUCUUAACUGCUAAAAUCAGUACAGACAAUAAAAUAUGUGAGCAGGCACCUUCUAAGUAAUUUAUACACCUCAUUUGUACAUUAUCAUCAGCAAUCAAGGCAGCCUGCAAAAAACGAUUAAGCCUGGAUGCACUGAUUAGACUAGGUCAAGCCUCACUUUUUCAAUUAUCCUGGAUUUCUGAAUUCUGCUUUUGUGCGAUAGCCCUCUGGUCCCUGCUCACCCUAGCUGUGCCCUGUUUUGUUUAGUCCCCUGUGUAUAUAUACCUGUCUGUUCUCUUAGUCAAGACCUCGAAUCUCUAGAUGACGCGACGCAGCAGCCUCGCGUGAGAUGUGCGUCUCAUGUGGGCUGUGUGACUGCUCUAACCUGUUAACAUGGGCGCCGAAAUGAAAAGCAAGAGGUUCUGCGAUGCACAUGUGCUGCUUAUGCAUCCAGUGUGUCCCAGGCGUUAUACACUGAUAUUUUAAUCAAUACAGCAGUCUAUAUGGGCUGCGUAAUGGCUCACGUUUCAUUCGCAUUACAUACACGUAAACAUGGCCUGAAGUCUAUUUUCCUCCGUUUUAUGCAUCUAACUAGUGAUUGUGUAUUGGGCUCUGAGCGCUUCAAACACAUGAGUGAUCUACACUCAAGUAGACACAUAGACAGAGCACUCACUGCUGCUGCUGCUCUGCUGAUGUGCUACUCAGACCACACCUCAUGAUUCUAAACUACAUUUUAGUCUUUUUCGUCAUGCUGAUAUAGUCAGUGUUUAAUGAUGUUGGUGCUGUCUCAUCAUCUUCUUGUCUUAGUCAUGGGAAAAAGAGGGAGCUGACAAACACAUUCAGUCAUAGUUAAUGAAAUUAAUAUUAGCUCAGAAACCAUAUCCUGAAGGACACGAGACCAGCAACGGUUGAUUACAAACUGAGUCGAGCAAGAAUGUAUGUAGAAGGAGCUUUCUUUGCACAAAACAUGCUGAUUAAUCACUCUGAGUUCAUUUGGAGGGCUGAAAAGGACUAAGUGUGAAAACACCUUAAGGAUCUAGCCCCCACAAAGUACAAACUGCAACACAUCAGACACAUCAUGUAUUGUUGCAGCAUUUGACUCUUGUAGCAAACACUGGACACGCUGUACAGGCUGAAGAAGUCAAGGUACAGUAGCCAGGAAAUAGAUCAGUGGCAUAAGAGGUAUUUCUGGUACUGCUGUCUUUGCAUGGUGGAUACCUCUAUUAAUGGACCAGCAAAAAUUCCCACAGUGUAAGAUGUUCAGUGAUGCCAUCACAGGUCAGAUUGCUUGUUGUCUGUCAAUGCCUAAAGCAGUCACUUUUGGUUACAGCAGUUCUUUAGUAACACAGUUCUGCUGUAAAGUUAUUGACCAACUCUAGGAUGGAGGUGAUUACAUUCUCUCCAGUUCAAAAUCCAUGAAAUGUGUCCAUGAGAGAUGGGGAAUGAAAUGCAACAACCAUCCCCAUCCGGACACUAACAAGGGACAUUUAUGAUCAUGGCCAGUUCCUUAAAUCCCUAAACCAAGAGGGCACUCCAUAAUGCUUCUCACUUCUUUGAUGCAGCUGAUUUCUUUCCAAAAGGAUUACUUAAUUAAUGUGCAACUAAUUUAAUUGUACUAUUUAUUGAAUUUGUCAAAGCUGUUUGUUUGAAGAUAUUCUAGUUGAUUAAUUGUUUUCAACGAUGCAGUUAGCACAUCCCUGUCCCUUCAUUAUCUAAAACCACUAAUGGCCUGUCUCCUGUGAGUAUGAAAGCACUCUUUCAUGUGUCAAUAAUGUACCCCGGAAGCAACUCUUUUUCCCUCUCCUUCUCAUAAUCCUCUUCAGUCAUCUUCCACUUCUGAGAACUACACCUGAGCAUACAAACAGAUUUACAAUGAGUGAUGACUCCUCAUCUUCAUUGCCUCUGGAAAGCAUUCCUUCAGCAAAAGGAGACUAGCACUGAAUGGACUAUUAUCUCAGUCGUGCAGUCAUGGUUACCCAUUGUGUAUGGCCGCGCUCCAGUCUGCUGCUGCUGCUGCUGCUGCUGUAAACACUGCCUACCAGGGCUUUCUCUGUUAGAUACAAAUUAAAAGGUUGGAUGUGAUAUAAUACUAUAAACCUACGCAAAACAAAUUUAAGGAUAUAAUCAAUGGUUAGUUAAUAUGCUAUGUUGUGGAAGGAAAAAAAUCACCUUUUAAAAAUCACUCCACAUUUCAUAAAUUUGACCUCUUUUCAACAGUGUAUAUACUAUCAUUUUUGGGGGGCAAGGCCUGCCACUGAACUGUUUAGAAACCAACCUAGAAGGCAUUGACACUGCCAAGAUUAGGCUGUAUUCAGACCAAAUCAGGUGGUGCGGCGAAAACGUCAGUCUUCCCAUUCAUUUCGGUUUUGGUUGAGAUCUUUUUGGCCACAGCUGUGCUGCACCGGCCUGUAGCUGGAAAGUUGAGCCAGAAUCAGCUUUUGGAGAAGUGCAACCUGACAUCACUGUGCCAAUCACAACUGGAGAUCAGACUGAUCAGAGCUGUAAACCCUGCCAUGAGGGAGUUUUUGUUUUAUAAUGAGAUGUAAAUGAGUUUGACAAGUCACCUGAUUUAUGAUUAGCAUGUUGACCAGUGUUCAAAAGACACCCUGACCAUAUUCUGAGUUAUUGAAUAAUGAAUUCCAUUUCUUUCCAUUUCUUUCCUUAGACAGACAAUAUUGUGUCGGACAGUGCAGGCAACAGUGAUGUCGCAGGCCCCGUCAGGUGGUGAAGACACUGAAAAUGUGACUUUAGAAGGCCGAAUGCCAUCUCAAUUCGGGCCCUUCAUCUUGCACGGACAAAUACUGUAGAAGUUGGGCCUGAAAGACAUUGUCAGCCCCACUCAACAGACUAAGAAGUGGGACAACCUGAAAAGAAAAUAUAAGGUACACACUUGUUCAAAAGAAUCAUGCCUUAGCCUCUAAGGAGGGGAUGGGGACAGACAAAGGGAAGGCCAGAGCAGCCACCGGGCCCUGGUUUACCCCGAUGCAUGAGGCCAUUGGGGGCAGGCCUUCUAUUGUGCAUUCUGUCCUAAUGGAGUCAUACAGUGGAGAGAACCAGGCACCAGUGGAUACUUUGGACUGUGAAGGCAGUGGCCCAACUCCUUCUACAUCUGCGGUGGCCCACCUGCUGACCAGCAAGCGAGGAGGACGAUGAUGAGGAAGAGGCACCAGCAGAGCCGGGCAAGUGUGACACAAAAGGAUGGUGAGCCCUGCACUUCAGCCUGUCCUCGACCCCCCCAAAAGGAGGAGAAGCAGGCUGUUGCAGCUGCUAUAUGAGGAGGCCAGGAAAGAGGAUGAGUGCUUUUGGACCAAUCAUGCAUAGAAUGAAUGGUUUUUGAACCUCUUUGAAGACAGAGAGUUAACAAGAGUUAACUUUAAGUUAGAUUAAUCAUCCAUUUUUCUUGUUACAAUACAGAGGAGCCCAAAUACAACUUUAAUUUAUUACAUUGUAUUAUGUGCCAACACAGGUUUGGUAUUUAAGGUAUUUUGGGUAAGCUUUUGUUUAUAUUGCCAAUACAGUUCAAUGCCGAAUAAAUUAAAUAAUGUUUAUGUUUCUAUCUCAGUUUGUAAUCCUUAAGCAAAUAUCCAUCAGAUGGUACAAGUUUCAAGUUUGCAGUGUUCAACACAAACAACUUUAUUAAUCCCACUAGAGCCAAACUGUUAGGAGCAGCUUGUUGUACACACAACACAGUAACACACAAACAAGCAGAGAAAUAAUACAAUAUACAGCAACAAAGGAAACCAAGAACAGCAGGAUUCUGUAUGUAGAAUAUAAAUCCAUAAAUAAGAUAAAUGAUAAUGAUAAAUGACCUUGAUGAACACAAUAAUAGGAUCAGAUGAAUGCGAGCACCCAUAUAAUUAACACAAUGUCUACAAAACAAAGGCAGGGCACGGACAAGAUACAUAAAAACAGUAUGGCCUGGUAACUAGUAAAGAGGAUGUUCAGUAAUCAUGCUCCCAUAACGCAGCAAUACGUACAGAUGGAGAGUUGUCCAGCCAUCCUGUCCCUCCAAACACAUGCCCUCGUCUCCCCCCUCACUAUCUGCGGUGGAGUCACAGGGGGGUCAUCAAUGUCCUGCACUGGUUAGAGUAUGUCCCCUGCUGUCAGGAAAAUGUGCAGGACAGCAAAGCCAGUGAUGACUGUUGGUGCAAAGUUGUGAUUCACCUCCAGGACCUUCUACAGCCGGGACCUCCAGCAGGUCUUCAACAUGUCAAACGUAUGUUCAGUUUUUCAGCGGGCCUUGGUAUGGUGCUGGUUGAACCUGCUUUGUACCCUCCCUUGCAGUGGCUCAUGAUACGGGGUGAUGAUGGAAAUAGGAUGGCUAGUGCAGUGGUAGCCACCAUCACCCACUAUAGAGCACCCUCGGGGAGGGUACAGCGCACCUCUAAACACCCCGCUGUUCUUCAGUAUCCUGGUGUUGUGGACAGACUCUGGAUACCCCACAUAUGUGUUUAAGAACUUGACCGUCCCAUUACACACAGCCUGUAGCUGGAUGGAUGUGAAGAGCUUUCUAUUCAGCUAGUUCUGGCCAUCGGGUCCUGGCAGGGGUUUUAUUCUCAUGUGGCAUCCAUCAGUGGCACCGACGCAUGUGCCAAACACAGGACUGUUGGCCAGGAGCUGAAACUGGUGACCAACCUCAUCCAGUUCCUGGGUGGUGGGGAAUAUAGCUAUGUCCUGGUGCAGGGCAGCAAUCCUCCUCACUCCUUUGUGGACCAGCCUGCACACAAGAGUAGAUGAUGUAUGGGCAAAUGUUUAAGCGCUACAUAUCAUACUGUGGCAGAAUUUAUUUGCCCAUGUUAAUCGAAAUUACAUACCUGUAAACAGUAGACAGAAGUACUGCCAAGGCCCAGGACACGACACUGUAUGACAGCCAGCCUUUCAGUCAGUACACAGUUAUCAGUAUUUGAGUAGCAUCUGGUCCAUGGGCUGGAUGUCAGCUGCAGCAGGCUCAGCUCCGACGUUACUACUUCUUUUAUUUGUACUUCUUAACCUUUUGGUAUAAUUUAUUAUCAUGCUGAGCUCCUCCACACACAUACAGAGUGAAGUUAGCAAACAGCAGAACACACAUGAAGUGAAGAUUACUUGAGUUGAUGACAACUGCGCUCGUGACUGUAAGUGCAAUAAAACCUUUGCGAAUAAAAAGCCAAUACUUUAUCAAUACACCUGUUCAACAAGAAUAAACAUGUUGAAAAGCAAUAUUUCAAUCUGCUCUGUCCGCAAUCUCUCAUCCACCGCCUACUAUGCCCAGCUAAUAGCGAAUUGUUAUGAACAAACUAAAAUGAAAGCUGUCUGUAUGUAGUCUAACUGUUUA